UUAUAACUAACUUUUUCCCUGCGAGAAGUUAGAUAAUAUCAAUUCAUUCAAUUAUAAGCAAUGAAAACAAGAUAAAAAAAAAUGUAAUGAGGCAUAAGAAUUUUUACAUGGAAAACCCCCACACUGACUGUGAAGAUAAAAAACCACGAGCUCUAAGACCACUAAACUAAAUCUACUAUAUGAGAUCAAGUUACACGAAUUUAACUAGCCUCUUUACCCUAAAGACUUAUUCUCUG
rnacentral:lncRNA from 1 species